rnacentral:misc_RNA from 1 species
AGGUGAACCUGCGGAAGGAUCAUUAGAAAAGUAUGCGCCCACACGGGCAACCUGCGGGCAAGUUGGUAAAACGAGAGGAGGUGUUCGUUUUUUUUUUUACCCCCAAUGCACUUAUUGAAAAGACCCAAGUCGAAAAAAGAAAAUGGUGAUGGAAUAUUGGUCAAGGCCUUUGUUCAGCAUGCCGAUAUGUGGGUGUUGCAGGAUAAAAACUUCUGCUUACCUGGAAUCAAAUUUUUGGUGGAUAAUCUUUUGGUUGUUCCCUUAAUUAUGGGCUGUGCAAAAAGAGCUUUUUUUUUUGCUGGCCUUAAAUUUAAAAUUCUUUUUCGACGCCGUAAUAACCUUUGCCUAAAUGUUUGUCUGAUCUUUUACUUAUAACGAGUAAAAAAAUUAAUACAACUUUCAACAACGGAUCUCUUGGCUCUCG